rnacentral:rRNA from 1 species
AUUGAACGCUGGCGGCAGGCUUAACACAUGCAAGUCGAGCGGGGUGAUGGUGCUUGCACUAUCACUUAGCGGCAGACGGGUGAGUAAUGCUUAGGAAUCUGCCUAUUAGUGGGGGACAACAUCUCGAAAGGGAUGCUAAUACCGCAUACGUCCUACGGGAGAAAGCAGGGGAUCACUUGUGACCUUGCGCUAAUAGAUGAGCCUAAGUCGGAUUAGCUAGUUGGUGGGGUAAAGGCCUACCAAAGCGACGAUCUGUAGCGGGUCUGAGAGGAUGAUCCGCCACACUGGGACUGAGACACGGCCCAGACUCCUACGGGAGGCAGCAGCGGGGAAUAUUGGACAAUGGGGGGAACCCUGAUCCAGCCAUGCCGCGUGUGUGAAGGAGGCCUUAUGGUUGUAAGGCACUUUAAGCGAGGAGGAGGCUCUUUUGGUUAAUACCCAAGAUGAGUGGACGUUACUCGCAGAAUAAGCACCGGCUAACUCUGUGCCAGCCGCCGCGGUAA